CUACGGGAUGCAGCAGUGGGGAAUAUUGCACAAUGGGCGCAAGCCUGAUGCAGCCAUGCCGCGUGUAUGAAGAAGGCCUUCGGGUUGUAAAGUACUUUCAGCGGGGAGGAAGGGAGUAAAGUUAAUACCUUUGCUCAUUGACGUUACCCGCAGAAGAAGCACCGGCUAAGUCGCGUGCCAGCAGCCGCGGUAAUACGGAGGGUGCAAGCGUUAAUCGGAAUUACUGGGCGUAAAGCGCACGCAGGCGGUUUGUUAAGUCAGAUGUGAAAUCCCCGGGCUCAACCUGGGAACUGCAUCUGAUACUGGCAAGCGUGAGUCUCGUAGAGGGGGGUAGAAUUCCAGGUGUAGCGGUGAAAUGCGUAGAGAUCUGGAGGAAUACCGGUGGCGAAGGCGGCCCCCUGGACGAAGACUGACGCUCAGGUGCGAAAGCGUGGGGAGCAAACAGGAUUAGAUACCCGCGUAGUC
rnacentral:rRNA from 1 species